rnacentral:rRNA from 1 species
UACGGAGGGUGCAAGCGUUAAUCGGAAUUACUGGGCGUAAAGCGUGCGUAGACGGUUUUGUAAGUCUGAUGUGAAAGCCCCGGGCUCAACCUGGGAAUGGCAUUGGAAACUGGCUUGCUGGAGUGUGGCAGAGGGGGGUGGAAUUCCGCGUGUAGCAGUGAAAUGCGUAGAGAUGCGGAGGAACACCGAUGGCGAAGGCAGCCCCCUGGGCCAACACUGACGCUCAGGCACGAAAGCGUGGGGAGCAAACAGG